rnacentral:rRNA from 1 species
GAAACGACUGCUAAGACUGGAUAGGAAGAAAUAAGGCAUCUUAUUUCUUUUAAAAGACCUAGUAAUAGGUAUACUUUAGGAGGGGCUUGCGCCAUAUUAGUUAGUUGGUAGGGUAAUGGCCUACCAAGACGACGAUGUGUAGCUGGACUGAGAGGUUGAACAGCCACAUUGGGACUGAGACACGGCCCAAACUCCUACGGGAGGCAGCAGUAAGGAAUUUUCGGCAAUGGAGGAAACUCUGACCGAGCAACGCCGCGUGAACGACGAAGUACUUUGGUAUGUAAAGUUCUUUUAUCAAGGAAGAAAAGCAAGUGGCGAACCAUUUGUUUGCCGGUACUUGAUGAACAAGCCCCGGCUAAUUAUGUGCCAGCAGCCGCGGUAAGACAUAAGGGGCAAGUGCUAUCCGGAAUUAUUGGGCGUAAAGGGUGCGUAGGCGGUCUAGUAAGUCAGUGGUGUAAUGGCAACGCUCAACGUUGUCCGGCUAUUGAAGCUGCUAAACUUGAGUUAGAUAGAGGCGAGUGGAAUUCCAUGUGUAGCGGUAAAAUGCGUAAAUAUAUGGAGGAACACCAGAGGCGUAGGCGGCUCGCUGGGUCUUAACUGACGCUGAGGCACGAAAGCGUGGGGAGCAAACAGGAUUAGAUACCCUGGUAGUCCACGCCGUAAACGAUGAGUACUAAGUGUCGGGUUAAACCGGUACUGAAGGUAACACAUUAAGUACUCCGCCUGAGUAGUACGUACGCAAGUAUGAAACUUAAAGGAAUUGACGGGACUCCGCACAAGCGGUGGAUCAUGUUGUUUAAUUCGAAGAUACCCGAAAAACCUUACCAGGUCUUGACAUGUUUUUGCGAAACGGUAGUAAUAUCGUAGAGGUUAUCAGAAACACAGGUGGUGCAUGGUUGUCGUCAGCUCGUGUCGUGAGAUGUUAGGUUAAGUCCUAAAACGAGCGAAACCCUUAUCGUUAGUUGCCAGCACGUUAUGGUGGGUACUUUAACGAGACUGCCAGUGAUAAACUGGAGGAAGGUGAGGAUCACGUCAAAUCAGCAUGCCCCUUAUGACCUGGGCUACAAACGUGAUACAAUGGCUGUUACAAAGGGUAGCUGAAACGUAAGUUCUUGGCCAAUCCCCAAAAACAGUCUCAGUCCGGAUUGAAGUCUGCAACUCGACUUCAUGAAGUUGGAAUCGCUAGUAAUCGCGAAUCAGCAUGUCGCGGUGAAUACGUUCGCGGGGUUUGUACACACCGCCCGUCAA